rnacentral:rRNA from 1 species
CUCCAGAGUUUGAUCCUGGCUCAGAUUGAACGCUGGCGGCAGGCCUAACACAUGCAAGUCGAGCGGUAGCACAGAGAGCUUGCUCUCGGGUGACGAGCGGCGGACGGGUGAGUAAUGUCUGGGAAACUGCCUGAUGGAGGGGGAUAACUACUGGAAACGGUAGCUAAUACCGCAUAACGUCGCAAGACCAAAGUGGGGGACCUUCGGGCCUCAUGCCAUCAGAUGUGCCCAGAUGGGAUUAGCUAGUAGGUGGGGUAACGGCUCACCUAGGCGACGAUCCCUAGCUGGUCUGAGAGGAUGACCAGCCACACU